GUGAGAAAUUUUUGCAGAAUCAAUUACAGUUUUUUUUUGUUUUGACAGGCGCAUAUUGUAUUUACAAAAGUGAUACCUGUCCGAAAUCUAUGAUUCCUGGUUGGAUAAGAUGGGAUGAUGCAGAUGAUAACAACGGAAACAGCAAAGGAGGAUCCUUGCCAAAUGGAUCAUAUGGGAAGGAUACUAAGAUCGAGUACUGUUGUCAAACAGAGGGUCAAUGGUAUGAUGUAAUUGAACUGCCAGUCAGUCAGCCAUUUUAUUUAUUAACAUCCAGCUCUAUUGAUGCUCCUAAAUGCCAGAUGGUCAAGUGGGCAUUUAGCUACUUGGAGUACAUUGUAUUUGAUACAGAGGAUAAUAACAAUGGAGAUGCUGAAGGAGGAGAACAUGUUUUUAAGGAUGGAGAUAAGCUAUUUUACUGUUAUUAUGAAAGUACGUUGUUAUAUAGUUCAGCGGAACAAUAUAGCCCAUGGAAGAGGAGAUUGUCUAUUUAGCGUGCAUUGUGGGUCGUGCGAUGUUGGUCAGUACUAUACUAUAAACUACAGAAGUUUUGCACGAAUCUUGUUAGCUAUAGAAGCACAUUCACAAAAAUGAGGAAAUACUGGCAGAUUCGCUGAACUUGUGAGUGGAGUGCUAUUUUAUCUCAACAUUAUUGUUUUCAGUUGUGAUUUUAUAUUCUUCAGUUAUAGUUGUAUAAGUGGUACAUAUUAACGAAAGUUAUUACUUAGGACCCAUUUCAAAGAUCUAGCUACACUUGUGCUACUUAAUGUUAAGGUGGCUAGAUAUGGUUUUUAAAAAAAUGGGAAAACGAAUAGGUGUUUUUUGAGAAAAAAUACUUGUUGAAAAAUAAAACGCAUCGUACUGAUGUACAACAACAUCUAAAUUUGCAGUAGCUUUGCAGAAAUAAAUUUACGUGGUGUUUCCACAAACAGUAUAUGUUUAUCGUCAUGUAUUAUACGUUUUAUCGCCAUGCAAACCUGGUAUUUCCUCAAACAAAAAGUAUUAUAUGUUAGUAGAUAUACCCCCCCCCCCCCGUUUGGCGUAAUUUUCCCC
rnacentral:lncRNA from 1 species